rnacentral:misc_RNA from 1 species
GAUGAAGAACGUAGCGAAAUGCGAUAAGUAAUGCGAAUUGCAGAAUUCAGUGAAUCAUCGAGUCUUUGAACGCACAUUGCGCCCCCUGGUAUUCCGGGGGGCAUGCCUGUCCGAGCGUCAUUGCUGCCCUCAAGCACGGCUUGUGUGUUGGGCCUCCGUCCUCCUCCCGGGGGACGGGCCCGAAAGGCAGCGGCGGCACCGCGUCCGGUCCUCGAGCGUAUGGGGCUUCGUCACCCGCUCUUGUAGGCCCGGCCGGCGCUUGCCGACACAUUAAUCUUUUUUCCAGGUUGACCUCGGAUCAGGUAGGGAUACCCGCUGAACUUAAGCAUAUCAAUAAGCGGAGGA